GACGUAGGGCGCGAGCGUGUCCGGAUUUAUUGGGCGUAAAGAGCUCGUAGGCGGCUUGUCGCGUCGAAUGUGAAAACUCGGGGCUCAACCCCGCGCUUGCAUUCGAUACGGGCAGGCUCGAGUUCGGUAGGGGAGACUGGAAUUCCUGGUGUAGCGGUGAAAUGCGCAGAUAUCAGGAGGAACACCGGUGGCGAAGGCGGGUCUCUGGGCCGAUACUGACGCUGAGGAGCGAAAGCGUGGGGAGCGAACAGG
rnacentral:rRNA from 1 species